GCCGGGCAUGAUGGCACACGCCUGUAGUCUCCCACCUACUCGGGAGGCUGAGACUGGAGGAUCACUUGAGUUCUGGGCUGUAGUGUGCUCUGCCGAUUGGGUGUCCACUAAGUUUAGCAUCAAUAUGGUGACCUCCCAGGAGCGGGGGACCACCAGGUUGCCUAAGGAGGGGUGAACCCGCCCAGGUCAGAAACCACAUUUGCUUAUAGAAAGUGAGUUAGGCAGUAGUUUCUCAAUAGAAACAAUUCUGCUAUGCAUUUUCCCUUGCACAUCCCAGUGGUAGAUGUUUUCCU
rnacentral:sRNA from 1 species